GCAGCAGCCGCGGUAAGACGGAGGGGGCUAGCGUUGUCCGGAAUUACUGGGCGUAAAGAGCUCGUAGGCGGUUGCUUACGGCGGUGGUGAAAUCUCCUGGCUCAACUGGGAGGGGUCCGCCGCAACGGGGCGACUCGAGGGUGGUAGAGGCAAACGGAAUUCCUGGUGUAGCGGUGAAAUGCGUAGAGAUCAGGAGGAACACCCGUGGCGAAGGCGGUUUGCUGGGCCAUGCCUGACGCUGAGGAGCGAAAGCUAGGGGAGCGAACGGGAUUAGAUACCCCGGUAGUCCUAGCCGUAAACGAUGAUAACUAGGUGUCAGCGGUAUCGACCCCGCUGGUGCCGGAGCUAACGCGUGAAGUUAUCCGCCUGGGGAGUACGGCCGCAAGGUUGAAACUCAAAGGAAUUGACGGGGGCCCGCACA
rnacentral:rRNA from 1 species